AUUGAACGCUGGCGGCAGGCCUAACACAUGCAAGUCGAACGAGUGGCGGACUGGUGAGUAAUUUCCGGGAAACUGCCUGAUGUAGGGGGAUAACUACUGUAAACGGUAGCUAAUACCGCAUACCAUCAGAUGUGCCCAGAGGGGCUUAGCUAGUUGGUGUGGUAACGGCUCACCAAGGCGACGCUCCAUAGCUGGUCUGAGAGGAUGACCAGCCACACUGGAACUGAGACACGGUCCAGACUCCUACGGGAGGCAGCAGUGGGGAAUAUUGCACAAUGGGCGCAAGCCUGAUGCAGCCAUGCCGCGUGUAUGAAGAAGGCCUUCGGGUUGUAAAGUACUGUCAGCGGGGAGGCGGUACCCGAAGAAGAAGCACCGGCUAACUCCGUGCCAGCAGCCGCGGUAAUAC
rnacentral:rRNA from 1 species